rnacentral:misc_RNA from 1 species
AUUAAAUUAUGUGGUAGUGAAAAAACAUAAUAUGCACUCAAUUUUGAUUUGAUUGCCAAUUUUCUAUUUAUUUGAUUUUGGUUAAAACAACUAAUUUAUUUUAAAUUAUAACCAAAAAAAUAAUUAAAAUUGAUGAAAGUCAAAUUUUAUUUCUAAUAUUAGGAUUUUUUUAAGAUUAAAAUAAUUUUACUUUAUCAUUUAAUUAAAUAUCUAAUUUAUCUUAGUUUAAUAAUUAAAAACAUAUAACUUACCAGACAUUCGAUUUGAAUUGCGAU